CAGCCAGGUCGUGAACUUCGUAAAGGUGCAAUGCAACUGGCGACGUUCAAAUGCCCAGCCUUUGGGGCGACGUCUGUGAUGCACAGUGAGUCACAUCAGCCUCUCCGGGCCCUUUGAGGGCCAACAGCUGUAGAGCGUGCGCCUGCAAUUACGCAGCUCAGCAUCUGCUAGGAUCAGGUCUAUGAAUUUUAACACAUGCACAGAUCCUGUGACCACCACAACAAUGAAGAUACAGAAGAUCCAGCUGCCCGAGAGAUGAAUUUAUAGUACCACCCUCUCCCUCUCUGACACCUGGCCACCACUGAGUUGUCCUCCAUUCCUGUGGUUUGACUUUUCAAGAUUAGCAUACAGAUGGAAUCCUAUGAAAUGGAACCA